rnacentral:rRNA from 1 species
ACGAAGGGGGCUAGCGUUGCUCGGAAUGACUGGGCGUAAAGGGCGCGUAGGCUGUUUGGAUCGUUAGGCGUGAAAUUCCUGGGCUCAACCUGGGGGCUGCGCUUAAUACAUUCAGACUGGAGUGUGAGAGAGGGUUGUGGAAUUCCCAGUGUAGAGGUGAAAUUCGUAGAUAUUGGGAAGAACACCGGUGGCGAAGGCGGCAACCUGGCUCAUUACUGACGCUGAGGCGCGAAAGCGUGGGGAGCAAACAGGAUUAGAUACCCUGGUAGUCCACGCUGUAAACGAUGUGUGCUGGAUGUUGGGUGACCUAGUCACUCAGUGUCGUAGCUAACGCGGUAAGCACACCGCCUGGGGAGUACGGCCGCAAGGUUG